rfam:Hordeum vulgare subsp. vulgare, WGS project CAJW01000000 data, contig: morex_contig_1560477
GAUAUAUUACUUCCGUCCCAAAUUACUUGUCUAAGAUUUAUCUAGAUACGGAUGUAUCUAAUACUAAAAUAUGUCUAGAUACAUCCGUAUCUAGAAAAAUCUAAGACAAGUAAUUCUGGAUGGAGGGAGUAGCAU